rnacentral:misc_RNA from 1 species
UUUCCGUAGGUGAACCUGCGGAAGGAUCAUUAUAAAUGAAAAACGAAUAACUUCAGGGAAGAAGGGAACCUGCACGGUGACCUCCCCUGUCGGGCCACCCAAUACCUUCAAAAUGCCGCCGUCCUAGCGGUGGCAGACGAAAAAAAAACGAGAAAAACAAAAUAGAAACAGGCACGGUGGCCCGUUCACCUUCACACAACCCUCCGAGUACCGCUUCCAUGUUGCUUCCCCGCAAAUCCACCUCUUUGGUGGGCGCGGGGGAGGUCCGCAUCAAAUUCACCUGAAUGUCACAGUAGUCAGACAGCCAUUCAUGGAAACAAUAAAACUUUCAACAACGGAUCUCUUGGUUCCC